ACGGCUUUCCCAUCCCUACCUCGCACUCCGAUGCAGUCGCCCAGCCGUCGCGCUGCCCGGCCCGGGCCUUGGGCCUCCAUGCUCGCGACGCCGGCAAGGAGAAGAUCCUCUUAGGAGCACCACCCGCUACGGCGCUACCUGGCCGGAGGUCGUCGUCCGAUGUCUCCUCUCUGACCUCGCCGUGGGUAUGCUCCUCGUCCCCCGUCUUCCUCCUACGACCGCGAAGGAAGAGAGCACACCGCCUUCCCGCUUCCGCCCGCCGCGCCGCGACGGAUCCAGGGGAGCCGUGCAACGACCUCCCCGACAGCAGCUCUCGCUCGUUGCCAGGAAUGGGGAUGGAACCGGAUGGAGGAGCUGAGGACGCGGGUGGAGCUUGGCGUGGCAGCGGAGAGAGGCAGAUGCGAGGCCUACGGCCUACCCCGUAAGAGCAUGUUCAGGGAGGUGCUUGCACGAAGAAAAACCGGGUGUGCUUGUGUUCUACAGGACACAGGACAGGUUAAGAAUGGUGAGAAAAGAAGCUACUGUACGAGAAUCGUCUGUUGGAAACGCCAGCGCAAAAAACUCUAGAAAACACAACGGCUUCACGCGUGUCACUUCGCAAAACCAUAGACGCUGACAGUGGCCCUUUGCAGGCAACCCACUGGCCUGCCGAUAUAACACGGAACUGAGCUGCGCCUCGGUGGAGCGAGGAGAGGCCGAAGAAACUUUCGGCUUUAGGAUAUGGAUGUUAUGUUAUUUGUCCAUGCAUGUCAAAUAAUAUAACUUAUAAAAGAGUAGAGUAAAGAUAAACCAGGACAGAACAACUCCGGCUUAUGCUUGCUAUACGAAUGCUAUUUCAUGCCAAUUACAAAUUCAACGUUUACUUUUAUUAUACAUCUGAAGAUGCAAGAUACAGAACACUACAGAAGGAAAAACAAUUUAGGAGUACACAGCA